GCAUGGAGCGCGGAUCUUCAGAGAUUAGAGUUUGAUCAUGGCUCAGGAUUAACGCUAGCGGCAGGCCUAAUACAUGCAAGUCGAACGGGAUUCAAGGUAGCAAUAUUUUGAUGAGAGUGGCGCACGGGUGAGUAACACGUAUGCAAUUUGCCUUUAACUGGGGAAUAGCCCUCCGAAAGGAGGAUUAAUACCGCAUAACAUUUCAGAAUGGCAUCAUUUUGAAAUUAAACCUCCGGGGGUUAAAGAUAAGCAUGCAUCCGAUUAGGUAGUUGGUGUGGUAACGGCACACCAAGCCAACGAUCGGUAGGGGGUCUGAGAGGAUGAUCCCCCACACUGGUACUGAGACACGGACCAGACUCCUACGGGAGGCAGCAGUAAGGAAUAUUGGACAAUGGAGGCAACUCUGAUCCAGCCAUGCCGCGUGAAGGAAUAAGGCCCUAUGGGUUGUAAACUUCUUUUAGACGGGACAAAACCCCUUUACGUGUAAAGGGUUGAUGGUACUGUCAGAAUAAGCAUCGGCUAACUUCGUGCCAGCAGCCGCGGUAAUACGAAGGAUGCAAGCGUUAUCCGGAAUUAUUGGGUUUAAAGGGUGCGUAGGCGGACUGAUAAGUCAGUGGUGAAAGCCUGCAGCUUAACUGCAGAAUUGCCGUUGAUACUGUCAGUCUUGAGUACAGUUGAGGUAGGCGGAAUGUGUCAUGUAGCGGUGAAAUGCUUAGAUAUGACACAGAACACCGAUUGCGAAGGCAGCUUGCUAAGCUGUAACUGACGCUGAGGCACGAAAGCGUGGGGAGCAAACAGGAUUAGAUACCCUGGUAGUCCACGCCCUAAACGAUGAUAACUCGCUGUUGGCGAUACACAGCCAGCGGCCAAGCGAAAGCAUUAAGUUAUCCACCUGGGGAGUACGACCGCAAGGUUGAAACUCAAAGGAAUUGACGGGGGCCCGCACAAGCGGAGGAGCAUGUGGUUUAAUUCGAUGAUACGCGAGGAACCUUACCUGGGCUUGAAAGUUAGCGACCGACUCCGAAAGAGUCUUUCAGAAUGACGCGAAACUAGUGCUGCAUGGCUGUCGUCAGCUCGUGCCGUGAGUGUUGGUUAAGUCCCGCAACGAGCGCAACCCCUUAUUCUUAGUUGCCAUCAGG
rnacentral:rRNA from 1 species